UUUUUUUUUUUUUUCUUUAGGGCCACACCGGCAGCAUAUGGAGGUUCCCAGGCUAGGGGUCGAAAAGGAGCUACAGCUGCUGGCCCACACCACAGCCACCACAAUGCCAGAUCUGAGCUACGUCUGCCACCUACACCACAGUUCAUAGCAAUGCUGGAUCCUUAAUCCACUGAGUGAGCCCAUAGAUUGAACCUCCGUCCUCAUGGAUACUAGUCUGGUUUGUUACUGCUGACCAUGACGGCAACUCCUCUGCUUCCAUUCUUAUUUCCUGUAAUCUCUUAUUUACGUGGUACUAGUCAUUUUUUAAAAAAGCUGUACAUCAAAUUAUGGCUCUCUUCUGCUUCCCACUGCACUUAGCUUAAAAUUCAAAUUCUUUAACCCUGCAUGAUUUAUAUCUUACUUCAACAUGUGCACCCUUCUUCCUGGACCAUUAUGCUCCAGCUACUCUGAUCUUUUAAAAUUUUUUUUCCUUUCCUCCCUCCCUCCCUCUCUCUCUCUCUUUCUUUCUCCCUUUCUUCCUUUCUCCCUCCCCCUCUCUCUUUUCUCUUCUUUCCUUUUCUCUCCUUUCCAUUUCUUUUUCUUCUCUUUCUUUCUUUCUCUUUCUUUCUUCCUUUCUUCCUUCCUUCCUUCCUUCCUUCCUUCCUUCCUUCCUUCCUUCCUUCCUUCCUUCCUUCUUCCUUCUCCUAAAAAUAGUAGAUUUAAAUCCAGACCUGUUUACUUCACUUUGUCUCUGCCAGGGAAUAUCCCUGUGCCUCUACUCCUCCUCCUCAGAUACUGCCUUGCUAGCCCCUUCUUACCACUGAGAGCUUAUGUCAAAUGAUACAUCCUUAAAAGUCUUCCUCUGAUCACCCAGUCUAAAGUAACUAACAAGUAACUCUCAGAUAAAUUAUUCUCUUUUAAUCCUUUUCUUAGCAAUUAACCCUAUUGAUAUUUUUGUCCUGUUUCUCUUCCUAAUCUAUCAUGAACCUAAUUGUUUUUUUCUUCCUCCACUGGAAUAGACUGUGAGCUCCAUGAAAGUAUGAAUCUGUAUUUAAGCAUCAGUGCCUGGAACUAUGAGUGCGGCACAUAGUAGGUGCUCAAUAAAUGUUUGUUGAAUAAACAAUUAAAUUCGUAGCAUCUAGUUAGUCCUUAGUCAUCAAGACUUAGAAAAGAUGGGUUCACUCACUAUUCUGCCAGGAAAAAAAAACUCUCUUGCUGCUUUCUUUUUUUUAAAUCUCGUUAUCAUGCUUUAUUUUCUAUUCUCACUCUAUACUCUGAUCCAACCCCUGUCACUCUAGAGUAUGUAUGUCACCAGUCUCUUACUUGGACUAUAUGACUUAGGCUUGCAAUCCUUCAAUCGAUUCUGCCUGCAUCAUAUAUAUUCCCCAUGUAAGAAAGCUUUAACAUUCUCUAGUUCCUUAACAGGAAUUUAUUAAAAUAGUAUUUCAAAUGUUAAAAACAACAUUAAAAACAAUAAGGAAUAGAAAUCACACUUAACCAGCUUCCUAACAGGAUUGUCUUUCCUUUUUCCAUACUCAUGUUCAUGUCUAUCCACACAUGGCCAUAAUAAGUGUGUGUACAAUUCUUUGUCCUACCUUUUUACUUAAUAUUUCAUGAAGUUUCAUGUUAUUCUAUCAUUUUUCUAUUUUGUUUAUAAUAGUCACAUAAUGGUUCAUUGAUUAUGUUCCAUAAUUAAAUGUCCAGUAACAGAAGAAUGGUUGGACUACUUCCAGUUUUUCUCUAAUGUAGUGGUUAUGCAUGUUGUUGUACAGAUGACUUUUUUCUUUUCAGUUAUUUCUUUCAGAGAAAUUCUGAGUCAUAGAAUUAAUGGGCCAAAGGUUAUAAUAAAUUUACGUAUAUAUGUAUGUGUACGUUUAUGUGUAUCAUGUAUGUGUAUGUGUGUGUUUGUGAGUGUAUUACUAAAUCCUCCUUCGAAAGGCUCAUACAAAAUUUCAAUUCUCUAGGCCAUGUAUAAAUACUAUUAAUUGCCUGAACUAGGUUUCUUCUUUUGUAAAAUUUUGGUUAAUUGAAUUGUUGUUUUCAUUUACUGUUUCAUUUCUUAAUUGCAAGUUGUAAGAUUAAAUGUGUUUCCAUAUGUUUGAUUCAUAUUUGUAUUUCCCUUGUGUGGGUUCACUGUUCACACCUUUUGCCCAUUUAUUAAUAGAGGCCUUGGUGUUUUAUAUUGAUGUUAACACUUUCUCGAAUUCAACUUUUGCCAUAUUUGUCUGCCUCUUGUCUUUUUCCUAAUAUGGGCUCACCUCACCUCUCAGCCCCAUUGACAACUACUCUAGAACAGCUAAUCUGAUCAGCUUUGUUCCACUGGGUGAUGGACAGCUUGAUGUUUGUUACUGCUCUACCUUUUGCAAUCUUUUUUUUUUAAUAGUGAUUUUUAUUUUUUCUAUUAUAGUUGGUUUACAGUAUCCUGUCAGUUUCUACUGUACAACAAAAUGACCCAGUCACACAUAUAUAUAUACAUUCUUGCAAUCUUGUUUCAUUUCAUUUAAGUGAAGUAAAUUUUCUCUCUUCUUAGUCUAAGUCCUUUUAUGCCCACCAGAGUCCCAGAAAAUGAAAACUUCCCUAACUUCUUUCUCUUGACUUCCUCUCUUCCCUUGUAAUCUUCUAGAGCAAGGCAGGCUUUACAGUGAUAAAAUGUUAAAUUUAGUCCUUUUUCCCCAAGAGUGGACCAAGAAAAGCAAAGAAAGUAUAGAAGGGAAUUGAUGAGGAAGUCAAGUCAUGAAAGUAGACCAUUUUAAACAUAGACUUUGACCUCUGAAUUUCAAAGACCAAUUUGUAAAGAGGACUCAGCACAUCUUAGAAAUGAAAAUUUCCUGAAACAGACCAAAAUCAGCUUUAGUCAUGUAAAAAACUCCUUUUUAUUAGUAUAUCCUAUUGUUUAUAUUAUACCCUGUUAUGUAUAGUUUCCUACAAAGAGCACAGAGGAGGAAAACUACAAAGACCUCACCUCAAGCAUUUUAGCAAAAGGAAAAUGUCAAGUUAUGAGAAGCCAGUGGAAGAGUCCUAGGUUGUGAAGCCUGAGCUCACCCACUUUAUCCCUUUCAUAAAACAAUUGUGGAGUCUAAGACCCAGCAAAUUAAAAUGACCUGACAUAGAUCAUACAAUUAGUGAGAAGGGCAGAAAUAAUGUAGGAUACAGGUCAGCUGUCUUCCUUAUAUUUUUUUAAAUACAACAUUAUAUUGUUUCCCAUUUUUUAAACAAUUUAUUACUUCACAGUAAAGAAUAUAUAGUCAAAGGGAAGCAAUUAAAGUCCUUUAAUAUCUCUUUGUUAAAAUUGUUCCAGCUGCUUUGAAUGCCAGGAAGACCUCAAGGCCAUUUAUCAGGCCAGGUUAUUAAUGUGUUUUGAGGAUCCCUAGGGUCACUUGACCUUCAUUAUUGUACCUCAUGAGGCAGAUAAAGCUGCUACUAAUGGCUUGUAAACCACAAAUGGUCAUGCACUAUUGCUUAAUAAUUUAUAAGCUUAAUUGGAAAGUGAGUCUUUAAUAAACUUUAAUUGUGAAUAGUAAUUUGUGAACUUUUUACAAGUUGGAGAGCAUGUAUAUGCAACUGAAUGAGCAAUCAGAGAAUAGUUUUUUAUUCCACGGGAUUAGAGAAGGUUGGAACAAAUGAUUGUCAUUUAGCCUGAGCUGCUGGCUUUUCUUUUUCAAAACUGAAUGAUUGGACUUUUCAUUUUUCUAUGGUAUUGGCUUCCUCUCAGCUUUCAAACAGAAGUGUAGGAUAAUCAGGCAGAUUAUGAACCAACCAGGUAGAAGAACCCAAAAUGUAUGAAGGUAUGUUUGGCUUAUCUUCUCUAUUUGUUUCCAAUAUCAGUGCUAGUGAUUAUCCUUUUUGAAAUCAAACUUGAAUUCACAAAGAACAAAAUACCUAGUUUUUAAUAGAUUUACUCAUGCCUUUCAGCCUCUUUUUCUGGACAUCAUCUACUGUGUGAGGUGGUCUGUAGUACUUGGAAGAGAGGGUGUGCUGGACUGAGACACAGUUCCCCAUUCUGCUUCCUGUCUAAAUGUGUACAAGUUUCUUGGUGGUUAAGCAGGACAUGUCUCUGACCCAUUGGAAAACCCAUCUUUUUCCACACAGGCAGGUGUUCAGGGUCUGGACCCCAACAUCUGGAUACUCUGACUCUAAGUCCUGAGGUAUAGCAGCCUGUGGGUGGCUGGCCUCCUCAAUUCCUGGGCCUUAUAGGGAGUGAGGAUAUUCGGAUUCCACUGGUCCUUGGGAGAAUGGCUUUCUCUUAUAGCUCAAUAUUUGGUCCUUGAUAUGCCAAAGCACUGGAAGUUGUUGUUGUCUUUUGUUCCCUCAUGUCCCCAAAGAAUAAAUUUUCUUCCUGGGCUCAAUCAUUGAGUUACAUGAUGGAAAUGGAAACGUAAAUUGAGCAUAUUUUUCUAUUCCCCGGGGUUGCUGAUUAGUAUUUUACAUUAUCCCUCAAAGGCAAAAUUUAAAGUUAAAUUUAAUGGAAGAACAUGUUCUUUCUUCUUCUUUUUUUUUUUUUUUUUCCAAAUUGUGGUUUUAGACUUUGUUUUCCAUAGUUAACGUCUCCCAUUGUUUUAGCUCCUUGUAUCUAGACUUCAUAUUGUUUGAAGAACUUGAGCAGCUAUUACUGAUAGUUGGAGAAAGGUGAAUGUUUUAUAACAUAUUGUUAGCAGCUGAUUAGAACAGGUUUUCUUUUUAGUCUAAGAAAGGCACUAGAAAUCUAUACCAUAAUUUUUGAGGUUGUGUUUGUAGAAACUGCAGCUUUGCUCUAAAGCAGAUGUUCCU
rnacentral:lncRNA from 1 species